rnacentral:rRNA from 1 species
AACGAACGCUGGCGGCAUGCCUAACACAUGCAAGUCGAACGAUGCUUUCGGGCAUAGUGGCGCACGGGUGCGUAACGCGUGGGAAUCUGCCCUGGGGUUCGGGAUAACAGCGGGAAACUGCUGCUAAUACCGGAUGAUAUCGCGAGAUCAAAGAUUUAUCGCCCUGGGAUGAGCCCGCGUCGGAUUAGGUAGUUGGUGGGGUAAGAGCCUACCAAGCCGACGAUCCGUAGCUGGUCUGAGAGGAUGAUCAGCCACACUGGGACUGAGACACGGCCCAGACCCCGACGGGGGGCAGAAGGGGGGAAUAUUGGAAAAGGGGCGAAAGUCUGAUCCCGCAAUGCCGCGUGAGGGAUGAAGGCCUUGGGGUUGAAAAGCUCUUUUACCCGGGAUGAUAAGGACAGUACCGGGAGAAUAAGCCCCGGCUAACUCCGU